AUACGGAGGGUGCAAGCGUUACUCGGAAUCACUGGGCGUAAAGCGCGCGCAGGCGGCUUGAUAAGUUGGAUGUGAAAGCCUACGGCUCAACCGUAGAACUGCAUCCAAAACUGUCAGGCUUGAGUGUGGGAGAGGAAGAUGGAAUUAGUUGUGUAGGGGUAAAAUCCGUAGAGAUAACUAGGAAUACCAAAAGCGAAGGCAAUCUUCUGGAACACUACUGACGCUGAGGCGCGAAGGCGUGGGGAGCAAACAGGAUUAGAAACCCCAGUAGUCC
rnacentral:rRNA from 1 species